CGAGUUGUUUGCCAUCCCAACUGAUCGACCCGGAACAGGCUGGUGUCCUGAUAAUCUUAAAAUAAAAUUCCUAAAACGUCUAAUACCAUCCGUCUAUCCCCUCCCCGGUCUCUCUUCCGACCCUCUUCCCUCGCUGAACAGUCGUCGCCAUCCUCUCUUUCUCCUUCCUGUUCCCCGAUCUCAGAUUUCCUCUCUAAAACCCAUCACUCCCAUCGAUCCAUAUCUCUUCUCCCUCCAAUUCGAUCAUCCUUCGAUCGAUAGAGAAGUUUGAUCUCAAUUCUUCUCUUUCCUCCAUCCAGUUCCCUCUUUAUAUUGCUAAAAGAUCAACCACGGUUCCGUAACAAUCAAAUUGGAUCCAAACCAUGCCCUUCUCCCAACCUUGCCGCGCGCCCGCCGCCGACGCCGGCGGCUACCACCACAAUUACCACCGAUCUGCCUUCAGUCGCCCGGCCGCCGCCCCCGGAUACGAAGCCGCCGCCGUCCCCAACCUCACCCAUUUUCCUCAUAGAGAUUUCUCCUAUAGAAACCACCAAGAUUACGCCUUCAACCAUGCCGCCGCCUACCCUGGCGCGCCGCCGCCUCUAAAGAGGAGAAGGUCCGAUGUCUCCAUCUGGGACGAGCACGCCAGUCAUCGGUAUCGGAAUGGGGUUGCCGGUGGCAAUGCCCUGUCGACGAGUCACGUUUCUUUUCUUCAGCCGAGGAGGCAUGAUGAUGGUACUGUUCCGGCGCGCAGGCAGGCGGAGCCGGCAAAAGAGGAGGAGGAUGUGGCGUUCAUGUCGAGGGAUGAGAUCGAGAGAUGCUCGCCAUCAAGAAAGGAUGGAAUAGAUACUGUUCUUGAAACGCACCUGCGGUACUCGUACUGCUCCUAUCUUCAGAGUCUGGGGAUGAGGCUCGAGCUGCCUCAAACUACAAUUGGAGCUGCUAUGGUGCUCUGCCACAGAUUCUUUCUUCGUAGAUCUCAUGCUUGUCAUGAUAGAUUUUUGAUUGCUACAGCAGCGCUGUUCCUAGCAGCAAAGUCUGAGGAAACACCAUGCCUACUGAACUGUGUGCUAAGGGCAUCCUUUGAAAUUUCUCAGAGACAGGAAUUUACUUUCUUCCCAUAUUUGCUGCACAGUCAGGACUGGUUUGAACAAUAUCGUGAGAAGGUUAUCGAGGCUGAACAAAUGAUAUUGACAACCCUGGAUUUUGAACUUGAUGUGCAGCACCCUUAUGCUCCACUUAGAUCUGUUCUUGACAAACUAGGACUUUCACAAACUCUUCUUCUUAAUGUCGCCUGGAACUUGGUUAAUGAAGGGGUCUUUCUUCACGAGAAUCAUGUGCUCACCUGUGUGAUAUUCUUAGCUGGAGCAUUCAUAUGCUGUUCAUGGAAAGCCUUUUUUCUUUUUAUGUAUUUGAAGUUGAGCAAUAGUGCAAUUUGGACAUGAUUGCAUGGAAAAUCUCAAACCAAUUAUCCAGUUGGUUAUUAUUAAUGACUGAUAGAUCUCCAGAACAUGUUUCAUGUGUAGUACAAUUCUGUUCGUUCUUCCAACUUGAUUCAAGAUAUCUGACACUUUUAUGGUUAUUUCUUGUUGAGUUUCACCAUCUAGCUCAUGUAGUUUGCCUUCCUUGUCUUCUUGAGUUUUAUCUAAACCUCUUUGCCUCACUCGUGUCAUAUUCCAAUUUUAUUUUCUUGUCCCAUUUGUCCUAUCUGUUCUCCUUUAAUUUUUUGCAAAUGUUCAAUCAUCUCUGCAAACCUAAUUUUUGGAUUUAAUUUUUGGUGGUUCACCGUAUCUGCCCUGCAAAGCCAAUCAAUGACAUUUUUUUCCCUCCAAUUCAAAGUCUGGGUGAAACUACAUUAAAUGGAUGAAGUCUCAGAAUGAAUUUUUAUCUUGGUUGUGCUUCUAUUUUAGUCAAUACGAGUCAUCUAAUUUCCAAGCAGUGUUGUGUGUACAAACAAGUACAUCAGUUCUCUCUAUUCUGCAUCGUGCACGCACAACAGAUGAAAAUCCCUAGGCAAAAAGGAAUCUCGAUCAUAAUUUGAAGAUGGUAACUAAAAUUAAAAAAAUAAAAUGAAAGAUAAACCCCAAGAAACAUCAAUGCAUGAAUUAUUUGAUGAUACAAUUUUCCAGAUUGAUUGCUGUUACCUUCUUAACCUCCCAAUAUGAUAUCAACAAGGUGGCCGAAUAAAUUUAUCCUCUGAUCCAUUUAAGAGGAUUCUUGUGGUUGACAAGUUGCUGAUUGUCCUACUAAUAAGACAAAGUUUUCUAAAUUUUAUAAUUUGGAUGUACAUAUCACGUAGUGAAAUAUGUGCUAUGUUACAUGAAAAACUCCAACAAUAAAACAUAUUAUGUUGCUAGAUUGCAGCUAUUAUGUUAUUGUAUUGUUUCCAUUUAAUCAAAAGAUUUCAUUUGUCAAUCUGUAUAACAUGGCUUAUCUCCUGCUGGUUAUAAAUUAUGAAAUUGGCGGUGAGGAAGUGAGAUUAGAUUUCUAUACACCAUUCAGUCUUCUAUCACCAGUAUGGUGCUUUGUUUUAUAGUUUGAAAUUGCACCUUGCCUCAACCAAGUGGUUGAACCCUAUAUACUUAUCUCCAAUUUCCUAGACACAACACAGCAUGGAAAUGAAAUCUCUUUAUCAUCUUCAGAAAGCAUGUGGUACCCAUUCACAUUUCAACCUAAUCAUCUUUGCAAAUGUAAUAGCAGUUCAGGAAAGCAUGCGCAUGGUCACUAUCUUGGCAUGGUGCUGGAAGUCUUAUUAGUCAUUUGUGAGAUAUUAUUGAUAAGCAGAAGAUAGAAGCAUCCAUGGGAGAAGCUUUUGUUCUCUCCUCUGUACCACAAAUCUCACCUACUUUUUCUGAUUGAAUAAUCUUUUUGGAUUUCGGGAAGGGCAAAUGCCCCUGGAGCAUUCUUGGGUCCAGGCCUUGAUGCAUAAUUCCCAAAGGCGCAUCAUACUGCUAUAGAUUAGCACUAUGACAGCAUUUCUACAGAAGAUUCUCAGAUAGUAUAUCACCUGGAUGGCUGCUUUGUAGUUGAUUAAGGAGUUCACUUUGGCUUCAGUUUAAGCCCCAUCAUAUUGCUGCUGGGGCUGCGUUUCUUGCUGCCAAAUUCCUAAAUUAUGAUCUUGCUUUCCAUCCAAGUUUUUGGCAUGAAUUCCAGACCACACCAUCAAUUCUUCAAGAUAUCGUGCAACAGUUGAUGGAACUCUUCUAAGGACAUGUCAAUACUCUUACAUGUUUUACUAAAGGUUUGUUAUACAUCAUAUUUAUAUUGGAUAAAAUAUUUUAAAUACAAGGAUCUCAGGGUGCUAUCAUGUGGGUGUGUCAGCUAAAUAUCUGCAUAAUGCUUCUUAUAUUUUUUAAUUUUUGGAAGCUUUUUUAUUCUUAAGGCUUAAGCUACGUAUGGUACUAUUUGUGCCAAUCAACAACCUCUAACAUAGCUGUUUAACAUUUAUAGUUUUACUAAAAGUUGAUCUACAAUUGCCGCA